AAUAGACCAAAAAUAAAGGAAUAAAUAGUGACUGAAUCAAUCACUGCUUUCUAGUUCUCUGACUUUGAGACCUUUUUCUCAUUCAAUUCGGCUAAUAACUUUUCCGCAGUACUAGGCUCUUUCACACGAAUCAAAUACAUUUCAAUUGAUUUUCCAUCAGUAGAAGCAGCAGGUACUUUUACGUCCUUUUUACCAGCCAGGCUGUAUUCAAAAUCCUGGCACAAACGAACGUUUAACAAAAGUUUUCCACUUCCCUCGACACGCGCAAGGAUGCGAGCAGAGCCAGUGUCACGAUCUACGUUAAUUUUUAAUGGACCAAUCCCGAUAUCAGAAUAAGAUUUACUAGUAGCAUCGAAACGGUAUAUCUUGGCCCUUGUCUCAAAUACGCUGUCUUCAUUUUCUUCGCCUUUUCCUUUACCAGAAACUAGAGAAUCAUUCGAUCGAGUUUCAUCAUUUCCGUUUUCCUUUUCUUCUUGCUCUGAUUUGUUUCCAUUAGAAGUUUCUUCACUUUUUUCAGCGCCAACAGAAGCUGGAGUAGAAGAAGUAGGAAAAGAAGAUUUCGGAGCAGCAAAAGAGAACGGAUUAGUAGUAGUUCCAAAUGAAAAGCCGACAGCCGCAGCGCUAGGAGGCUUCACAUCCGAAGAGGCCGGUAACUUUUUGCUCGAUAAUGGAUUGGUAAAUGUAAAUUUUUUCUCAGGUGUGUCAAAUUUGAUAGGCUUAUCAGGAGUCCAAGAAAAACUCAUAGUAUUUCCCUUGGCAGGUUCAACGGCGUUCUCGGAUUUUUCAUUGUUCGAGGGUUUAGAUUCUUCGCUCUUUGAAUCUUUAGUUUCAUGGGUUUGUUUGGUCUCUUUUGAAGCAUCCGCAGAAGCCAUAGUCGUUGAGAAAGAAAACACGGGAGUUAAUGGUUUUGAUUCCUCAUUUUCCUUCUUAGCGAAAGCGAAAGGAUUAGCGGCAGUAUUGAAUGAAAACUGGUUGGUUGUGGUAGCGGCAGUACCAGUGGCAGUUUGAUUAGAAGAUGUUUCUUUCUCCUUCGCUUCCGCUUCUGUUGCGGACUUCUCACCAAAUGACCCUUUAGGAGUAAAAGCCGAUGAAUUAAACUGGAAAGAGCUACCAAGCGCUGGAGCAGAAAAUCCGAACCUAGGAGCACCGGGGGGAACAAGGGGCUUCUCCUUAUCCUCUUUUUCUGAAGAAGCUGGUUUUUCUGUAACAAAAGAAGAAGAAUCUUGGCUUUUUUGUUGCUGAGGAUUUACCUCAGACACAACAGCAUUUGAAGUUGGUUGUUCUAAGAAAACGUUAGAAAGAAAUGAAGUACUAACUAUAAACGCAUUACCUUCUGCUGGCUUUUUUUCUAUACUUGAAAAAUGCUGCCUGUAUUCAUCAAACAGAGGGCUCAAAUUACCAAAGGGAUUAUUGUCAACACUUUUGAUAACAGCGUCAAUAAAUGAUUUAUUAAGACCGCGUUUUUUCAAGUGAAUAUCUGAAUCAUUAUUAGCUGUAACCGCGGGUUUUCCAAAUGUAAAUUGCGUAGUCGAUGCAGGUAAAGACACCGGUUUUGCUGCCAAAUUUGCAAAAAUUCCCGGAGAAGAAACACCGCUCGUUGGUCUUUUUCUAGAUUUUGGCUUUGCAAUUCUAAUACAUUAGUACCUAAAAAAUUGAAGAACUAUGUUUCAUCGUUACAUACUUUCUUGUGGCCAUCACGUCUGCGGAGGCCUCCUUAGGAACUUCAACUGGACCAUGACGGUCAUCAUCAGAAUCAUCUUGAUCCUUAGUUAACUGAUGAUCAGCACCGCGUUUUGACAUUUUGCUAGUUUGCGAAGGUCAACUGUUAGCCCCAAAACCACCCAAACUUAUGGCCUUCACUAUGUCUCCUUAUUUACUAAUGUUACAGUAAAAUAAAAUAAUACAAAAAAUGAAUUGUCGCUUGAUUUUAAUUAAGUAUUACAAAAAUAAAUGACUAUGGUACAAAAAUUAUCAUAAUAAAGAGCGUUCAGCUUUUUUCUUAGCGUUUCAGUUGGGCCAAAACAGAUUCGCAUCUGUCACAUAAUCCGUCCUCAUGAGCUGUAUGCAUCCAGCAACGUAGACAUUUUUGUUGAUUUGAAAAAAAUAAAGAGAUAUUUGCAACCCCAUAAUCCAACUGAACUUCAGGUUGUGUAACGGAAG